AAGUGAUUGGGUUUCCUGAAUUUUCACAGGUCUAGUCUUGAGACUGUGAAACCAAAACAAGGGGAGAAAGACCCUUAAUGGGGGCGUCCAAAACCUCGUGCCUUUCCUCCAUGUCAGCAGCCAUUCUCGCUCCUGAAUUCUCUUGGCCUCAGCUUUCCCUCUGCGGACGUUCUCACACAUCUCACUGUCUCUCCACCGUGGCUCUUUGCUCUUUUGUUCCUGAAGAAAAUCUGUAUGGACUUUCGCACGAGCCAACCGCACAUUUAUCACUGUGGUGUGUGUUGACCGUAGGUUGUAAUUCUCUGAGUUAUGACAAUGAAGCAGCAUGAUUCAAGAAGGAAUGGGAAGAAUGGCUGUGACAACUCUUUGGGAAAGUAAACAUUACUUUGUACCUCACUUCUGAUGGGAAAACGGUCAGUCUUUCAGAAGGCAUCGGAAUUUAUCAGGCAGAUGUAGCAAUAAUGUAACUACUACUGGAUGGGAUUUUCUCACACUCCGAUAACAGUUUUAUUGCAUGCUAGCCCGCAUGUAUUGCUUUCUAGGACUAUAAAAACAGAAAAGAGCAUGCUAUGUUUUCACUG